rnacentral:rRNA from 1 species
UACGGAGGGGGCUAGCGUUGUUCGGAAUCAUUGGGCGUAAAGGGCGCGUAGGCGGCCGAUCAAGUCGGAGGUGAAAUCCCUCGGCUCAACUGAGGAAUUGCCUUCGAUACUGUUCGGCUUGAGUCCUGGAGAGGGUAGCGGAAUUCCCGGUGUAGCGGUGAAAUGCGUAGAUAUUGGGAGGAACACCGGUGGCGAAGGCGGCCCCCUGGACCGGUACUGACGCUGAGGCGCGAAAGCGUGGGUAGCAAACGGG